rnacentral:lncRNA from 1 species
CCCCCCCCCCCUCCCCAACUAUCUGCAUCCCCAUUACAUGAGUAUAGACAUCGACAGGCACCGAGUAUAUAAGCUCGUGACGACAGUCGAGUGAAGAUAGGCGGGACACAUACAGCCCCGAACACAACACUGCCGUUGACCGUGUAUGGUCAUCGAUCUCAGCUUCUGAAGCUUUAUGACACCAAUAUCACCUAUUCUAUGAUUUACUAAAAAUUCGUUGUUGUGAGAAUUAUCCCUUUCACUAUUUGGUCUUUAAUUGCUCCUUGUGGCUUAUGACUUGAAUGUUGUUUUUAUUGCAAGUGACAAGCCUAUGUAAGUUAACAACGUCACUUGCUAGGUUUGCGUCCAUUACAUUAGUUAGAACUCUUUGAGUUGUUAUAUGUGCUUCUGCUUGAUAUCAAAUUUUUUUCCUUUUUUGAGUAAAUAUGUGCUUCACUGUUAAAAAUUAGCAAGAUCGAUUGGAGCGGGCAUCAACAUGAGGUAUGCUUUACUUGGUAUAGCUGUACCUAGUGUAAGUAAUGUCUUUUACCGAGUAUAGUGGAACGGUUUCCUGCCUCUUGGAGUUCAAAUUUUAGGCAAUUAUUUUGUUUCAUGAAAACUAGUCUACAUGGUCAAUAUAACUAUUUCUGUCAAGUGAAUUGAGGAUGAGGAAUAUGGACCUUCGGGUUACUAGUAGAUUUUAUCGUAUUUAUAUAUUGGCCUAACAAUGUAUUUUUAAAGGCUCAUCCUUCCUAUUAUACUCUUAUUAUUGCAAUGAAUAGAUGUGAAUUGCCUAUUGUUCCAAAGUGCUGUUCGUAAGGGGAAAUUGGCACAUGGGUUUGGUCCAAGGCUAAUAAUUAUUUGACUAAUAAAACCUUAAAUUAAAUUUAUGGACGUCACAUGUCCUGCUAUUGGUUCACGUUCAUCACUUAACCACAGCGUUGUCAUUUUCCCCUGUCCUUUACUUAUGAUCUGUACAUUUUUCUCAGUUAUGGAUAUUGAUUUGUGAUAAUGUAACGCACAAGUUCCCUACCUGCUGAUCAGAGCUGUUACCGUCUCGACUGCUGCACAAUCAUUUGUAGUUAUUUUUUAAUGAGUUAUUUAGUACCACAAAAGUCAAAAACCAAUGUAGGUGGCAAAUGCNNN